GUGCUCCCCUCAGCAGCACAUAUACUAAAAUUGGAACGAUACAGAGAGGAUUAGCAUGGCCCCUGAAGGAUGACACACAAAUUCAUUGAAUCAUUCCAUAUUUAA